UCAUCAUGAUCCUCUAAGCCAGCCUAGUCCUUCUCAGUUCCCAACGAGAGACCCCCCCCCCAGUUCCUCUCUGUCUGCAUACACUUGCAUACAUUCUGUCCAGCAUGCAAGUAUCUCCCGUAUCUCCCAUGUGGGCUUCCCCUAUAGCACCGGAACUUCAGCAUACACACCUGGAACUUGGCAGGGGGACUUGCAUUGCUUAAAGGGAUCUGCCAAAGAACAGAAAGUAUGGAAGUCCAUGAUUGACUUCUGCUAUGGAGACCAGACCUGAGUUAUUUAAGCUUAUGUAUAGGUGUCAUCCCCUUCAAGCAUGAGAUCUCAUGGAAGGUGGUCUCAUUCACUGUGGACGUGUAGAUAGGACAAGAGCCUUGCCUUGACUCUAACAUUCUCAACAUAAGUAGAACCGUAAGACAACAGAACUACUGCUAUAAGACUCUACCCAUGAUGGGUAUUUAGGUGCCUGUCAUACAGUUGACUCUUCGAUAUUUCAGAUACAGCCCAAGCUUCUCAGCGCUAAGGACCAGUAGCCUUCCCUUUCUCUACAAUGAAAUAUCUCAGUGAUGCACAUCCCCCUCCCUUGAGCACUCAAAAGGAUAUAUUAAUCAAGGAGUCGUCUGAUGUUUGCAAAACCUGAGCUUGAUUGUAAACAAGAUCGAAGUUUUAGAGGGAAUCUAUGAAUGUCAUGGAAUGUGAUGGACUAUCAGCAUUUCAGGAAUUGUGUGACAAAUCAUCUCGAUGUGGACCUGUGGCAAGGCAGCGUGGUGAAGCGUAGAGUACACUGUGCAGGAAAACUCUCACCGCAUAGCCUGGAAGAGCAAACAGAAGAAAGGGAAGAGUCUCAGGCCUCACAAUCAUCUUUGAAGAUUAUCUUCAGGGAAUUAAAGAUCCCCGACAAGGUCACUUCUCAAAUUUCUGGAAACUCCCUUCACAGUAAAUAGAACUAAAUGGACAUGUCCUGGGAGCCAAGGAGAAUGGACCAACUGGAAGCUGACCCAUAGGAGAAAACAAGACAGCUCUUCAUCUUGUUUGUGACCAACAAAUUGGAGAACAUGUUAUACUGGCCAAACACUGACAAUCGGCUAUUUUCCUUUGGGAGAUUUCAUUUCCUAGAGCAUCGUCUCUUGAUGCCAUAAAAACCAUUCCCAAGCAUGCAUAUCUCUGCUGGUACAGCGAUGUAUAUGUGACCUUGAAACAGAAAGGAGAAAAGAGAGCAAGCAAAUGGCACUUCUACGAUUCUGGGUCAUCUUGCAAAACACCUUUUUUAUUGGGAGUAAUAAUUUGACUUCAUUCCCCAAUAAAAGUAGAUUUAUG